ensembl:lncRNA
UGAAGAAAUUCCAGCAAUUUUUAUUGAUUUCAGCUUUUCCAAUGAAGCAAAUACAUACAGUACAGCCAAAACACAACUCUGAUACAUUAUUCUCACAUACCUAUAUCUUACAGAAUACACUGUAUAGCUAUGGACUGGCAGGCUCGGGUGGUCUCAAACUGCUGUGUGGUCAGAGAGGAAUAAAACUGCCUUCUGCCUUCCACGCAGUCCAUGAGGCUUCUGAAAUGCUGGGGUGGGUUGGAUUGUACAUACAUGAAACAAACAAAGCAUUUAAGAGGAAACAGGCCAAAAAGCUCUGCUAAGCCCAGGACAAACAAGUGUGGUAUUUAUUUACAUGGCUGUGUGUCCUGCGCACAAAUCAAGCCCCAAUUGCUCUUAUUCUGCUGCUGGCAGAGAUCAGGGUGCUGCUCGCUGUGGUCCUUCCCUCCUCAGUAGUUCUCCAUCACUCCAACCCACGUCCUGCAGACCUGCCCCAGCUGUAGCCUUGCAGAUCCGCCCUGCCUUGCCUUUUACACAGGGGAAAAACAGGAGAACAGCUCAGCAAGGAGCACGUCGCAGCUGAAGACAUGCCUCUAUGAAGCAGUGCCUCCCUGGAAGGAAGAACACCAGUGGAAAAAGGUGAGAGCAGCAUCCCGGUGCUGAGCUCUGCCCCCGGGAGAAGUGUGGUUUGGAAAAGAAGGUCCCCAGACUGCUGGGUAUGAGCAACACCAGAGGUUUUCCUUACACUGCCAGACAUCAGCGUCACUUCACCUACGUGGGUUGAGUCUGUAGUCCAGAUUUAACACAGAGAGACUGAGAGGGAAAUAGAGAGGAGUAUCAGAGAGUUUCCUUGGGGGGAAAAAAGAGUUGCAAAGAGCCCAGGGGUGUCAGCGGGGCGGCAGCUCAGCCCUGCUCUCCUACAUUAGCUGUAUUCUGAGGUAUGAGAGCAGCAACCUGCAGCAUUGUAGGGAAACUGAGGCUGGAGGGAGCUCCCAGCUCAGGGCAGGGAAAGCAUCCAGGGCUGUGCACAGCCAACAGCUGAAGAUCAACUUCGCUGCAAGAGAGUUGGACCAGAAGACCUUCAAAGGCCCUUUCAGCUGCAAUAAUACCAUGAUUCCAUAUGAGAUCUCCAAGGAUGGAGACAGGUUUUAUUUGUGUCGCCUGGUCGGCUUUGCUGUACAUCACUAACACUGAUGGGAAUGAUGCAUCCAACCUCUGAGCUCAGUGCUUUGUAACAAAACCUGCAAUACUUGUAAACUUAAUAGUGGGAUGAUGACUGCAGCUCCUGGUGCCCAACACAGCACUGCUGUGAAUUGCAUUACGGGUGAAAGCAGCGGCGCUGUCUUAAAAUAAAGCUCAAACAACAGCCAAUUAGAAUGAAUUUCCUCCAUAUUCCAUCAUUACAUUUUGCAGUUAGCUUUCCCAAUUAAUUUCACAGGGAAAAACGUUAGCUCCCAGGACUUCUGCCUACUGUGUAAUUACAGGAACUAAUCUGAAUGCAAAACUGCACGCAACGUAAUUCUAAAGCAAAACUGCAACAGCCCUUCCUGCGGACACUGCAGCCUUUCUGGAUGCCCAUAGACUUGGGUCCUGCCAAAAACAUUCUGAACCAUGAAAUGAGGACGUAUGAGGCUAUGCAACAGCUGGCAGCCGUGGUGAGGGCAUGCCCACAGGCCUGGGCUCCUCCGCUGCUGUUUAAAUGCUCCUGAAACUGCCCUACCGGAUUCGCCUGGUUCCAGCUCUCCACUUCAAAGGUGCUUUUUGCUCUUUCAUUUGGCUGGGAGCUGCGCAC